AGCAGCCGCGGUAAUUCCAGCUCCAAUAGCGUAUAUUAAAGUUGUUGCAGUUAAAAAGCUCGUAGUUGAAUUUCGGGGCGGGGGUGGCGGUCGCCUCUUACGGGGUCGUACUGCCAUCAAUUGACCUCGUCCUCUACCUUCUGGCGAGCCGGCAUGCUCUUAGUUGGGCGUGACGGGGAACCAGGACUGUUACUUUGAAAAAUUAGAGUGUUUAAAGCAGGCUUUUAAGCUUGAAUACAUUAGCAUGGAAUAACGAAAUAGGACGGAUUUGGUUCUAUUUUGUUGGUUUCUAGGACCACCGUAAUGAUUAAUAGGGAUAGUUGGGGGCAUUAGUAUUCAAUUGUCAGAGGUGAAAUUCUUGGAUUUAUUGAAGACUAACUUCUGCGAAAGCAUUUGCCAAGGAUGUUUUCAUUAAUCAAGAACGAAAGUUAGGGGAUCGAAGACGAUCAGAUACCGUCGUAGUCUUAACCAUAAACUAUGCCGACUAGGGAUCGGGCGAUGUUACAUAACAAUAUGACUC
rnacentral:rRNA from 1 species